UAUUGUGGGGCCAAGAGGAGCACCAGGAAAAAUGUAGGAGAAAUAAACUUAAUCGAUGGAAAAAAGAUUAUGAUCAUCAUACGGGGACUACUUCAUUUGCCCAGAUUGAGGAUCAAUUUUGUAGGACAACGAACGCUCCCUUUAUCCCACUACCAGAACUGCACAGGAGAACGAUGGUUCAAUUUAAGAAGGGGUACGAUGACGAA